rnacentral:rRNA from 1 species
AUUGAACGCUGGCGGCAGGCUUAACACAUGCAAGUCGAGCGGGGUGAUGGUGCUUGCACUAUCACUUAGCGGCGGACGGGUGAGUAAUGCUUAGGAAUCUGCCUAUUAGUGGGGGACAACAUCUCGAAAGGGAUGCUAAUACCGCAUACGUCCUACGGGAGAAAGCAGGGGAUCACUUGUGACCUUGCGCUAAUAGAUGAGCCUAAGUCGGAUUAGCUAGUUGGUGGGGUAAAGGCCUACCAAGGCGAUGAUCUGUAGCGGGUCUGAGAGGAUGAUCCGACACACUGGGACUGAGACCCGGCCCAGACUCCUACGGGAGGCAGCAGUGGGGAAUAUUGGGCAAUGGGGGGAACCCUGAUCCAGCCAUGCCGCGUGUGUGAAGAAGGCCUUAUGGUUGUAAAGCACUUUAAGCGAGGAGGAGGCUCUUUUGGUUAAUACCCAAGAUGAGUGGACGUUACUCGCAGAAUAAGCACCGGCUAACUCUGUGCCAGCCGCCGCCGUAA